rnacentral:rRNA from 1 species
UACAGAGGUCUCGAGCGUUAGGCGGAAUCACUGGGCUUAAAGCGUGUGUAGGUGGAUGCCUAAGUACCUUGUGAAAUCCCACAGCUUAACUGUGGAACUGCUUGGUAUACUGGGUGUCUUGAGUCACUCAGGGGCGAGCGGAACAAAUGGUGGAGCGGUGAAAUGCGUAGAGAUCAUGAGGAAGACCAGUGGCGAAGGCGGGUCUCUGGACAGUUCCUGACACUGAGGCACGAAGGCCAGGGGAGCAAACGGG